AAGAAUUGCCCCGUUUUUUUGAAAAUGGGUUCUAUUCCCAAACCGUGUCUACUUUACCUUUGUUGCUUUGGCGGGCCGCCUUCGGGCGUCGGCUCCGGCUGACUGUGCCCGCCAGAGGACCCAAACUCGUUUGUUUAGUGAUGUCUGAGUACUAUAUAAUAGUUA
rnacentral:misc_RNA from 1 species